rnacentral:lncRNA from 10 species
CAUGCGAAUGAUCUGUAUGUGGAAGGACUACCAGAAAACAUUCCUUUCAGAAGUCCCUCGUGGUAUGGAAUCGCAAGGCUGGAAAACAUCAUUCAAGUGGGCAAUCGAAUUAAAUUUCUUAUUAAAAGGUUUCUCCUAUUUACCUCAAGCACGUAUGGAGUGAAUUCUUACCUUUUAAUAUUGCCAUGGCAUUCACAUUGAAUGUAAGUUGAACUCUCUCAUAUGGUAGCUGGGUUCAGAUUCCCUUGACAAUUUCCAGUUCUAACCCUCACAGUUCCUCAGUGUGGCUGGCCCAGAUACUGACCCUACACAGUUGCCUCCCCCUGGUGACUACCCGCCAUGGAACCGUUGGAUACAAUCUGCAUGACUCACCCCACAGACCUCACAGCCCACUUGGACAGCCCCCACACGCCAGAGUGACCUGCUCAGUUGCAGCGGAAGCCAAGAAAUGUGCCUGCUGGCACUCACCCCACCGACUAGAGCCCCGUGGAAAACUUAUUUGGGUACUGUUCUGGGCCCAAUAAAGGCUGGAGUCCCACAGACCCCUUUUCUCUCUCUUGCUCCCCACUCAUCUUCUCCGUUUUGUUCAGCCCUAUGAGGUGUGCUACUGUAUUUGUCCAUUUUCACACCGCUGGUAAAGACAUGCCCGACUGGGUAAUUUCUAGAAGAAAGA